rnacentral:rRNA from 1 species
GGGCCCGCACAAGCGGAGGAACAUGUGGUUUAAUUCGAUGAUACGCGAGGAACCUUACCCGGGCUUGAAUUGCAUCUGAAUAUGCCGGAAACGGUAUAGCUAGCAAUAGCAGAUGUGAAGGUGCUGCAUGGUUGUCGUCAGCUCGUGCCGUGAGGUGUCGGCUUAAGUGCCAUAACGAGCGCAACCCUCAUCAUUAGUUACUAACAGGUAGUGCUGAGGACUCUAAUGAGACUGCCGGCGUAAGCUGUGAGGAAGGUGGGGAUGACGUCAAAUCAGCACGGCCCUUACGUCCGGGGCGACACACGUGUUACAAUGGGGGGGACAGCAGGCUGCGAAGUGGUGACACCGAGCGAAUCCUCAAACCCUCUCUCAGUUCGGAUCGAAGUCUGCAACCCGACUUCGUGAAGCUGGAUUCGCUAGUAAUCGCGCAUCAGCCAUGGCGCGGUGAAUACGUUCCCGGGCCUU